AGACCAGCAGCAUUAGCACCACCUGGGAGCUGGUUAGAAUCCCAGCCCCAGGUCCUACCCCAGACUUAAUCAAAAUCGGUAUUUUUGCUCGAGGACAGGAGGUCAAGACCAGCCUGGGCAAUAUGGCGGACUUGGGGCUUGAACAGUGCACAGUCAAGAUGGCUGCUGGGUCCAGAGGCUUCCACAGAGGACAGGAGAGGCACCCCUGCAUCCCAGGCUCAGGCACCGUGCUACAUGCUGGGGACAACUGCAAAGGUAAAUAUGCCAGAAUCCUUGUUUUUGAAGUUUUCUGUCAAAUGGAUGAGGAGAAAAUGAAAGAGAUCACAUUGUCAAUGGGUAAGUGAUAUAGAAGAGUGCAAUGGGAACACAGCACAUUC